rnacentral:rRNA from 1 species
CUACGGGUCGCUGCAGUAGGGAAUCUUCGGCAAUGGACGGAAGUCUGACCGAGCAACGCCGCGUGAGUGAAGAAGGUUUUCGGAUCGUAAAGCUCUGUUGUAAGAGAAGAACGAGUGUGAGAGUGGAAAGUUCACACUGUGACGGUAUCUUACCAGAAAGGGACGGCUAACUACGUGCCAGCAGCCGCGGUAAUACGUAGGUCCCGAGCGUUGUCCGGAUUUAUUGGGCGUAAAGCGAGCGCAGGCGGUUAGAUAAGUCUGAAGUUAAAGGCUGUGGCUUAACCGUAGUACGCUUUGGAAACUGGUUAACUUGAGUGGAGAAGGGGGGAGUGGAAUUCCAUGUGUAGGGGUGAAAUGCGUAGAUAGAUGGAGGAACACCGGUGGCGAAGGCGGCUCUCUGGUCUGUAACUGACGCUGAGGCUCGAAAGCGUGGGGAGCAAACAGGAUUAGAUACCCCAGUAGUC